AUUUGGGUUCACAUAAACACCUAAUUAUAAUCACACUUAAAAGGAAAGUCAAGCAUAUUACUAUUAUUCUCUCCAUUCCAAGGGAUAUACCCUCCUCUCCUCUGCUCUUCUUCAUAAAUAACGAUCUACUUUCCUGUCGGCUACUCCAUUAUUAUUAUUAUUAUUAUUAUUAUACCUGCCACACAAAUGCACCCUUUCCUGUCCUAGAUAGGACUUUCCUUUCCCUGACUAAUCACCGGAAUUUCCAGUUCCCGUUCACCGGAAAUGACUUCUCGUCGACUAUCACUCGCCUCUUUGCUCUUUCUUUAUCUAGUAUUUUCCUCUCAGUCCCUAGACUUUGAUGAUUUACACAAAAGACACAAACCCAGAAUCAAAGGCCCCAUCAAGACCCUAGUAGUUCUCGUCAUGGAGAAUCGCUCCUUUGACCACCUUCUCGGCUGGCUCAAGUCAACCAGACCCGACAUCGACGGCUUAUCUGGUUCCGAAUCGAAUCGAAUCUCUGCUUCCGACCCUAACUCCGACGAAGUCUUCGUCUCCGACGACGCGGUCUUCAUCGACUCGGACCCUGGCCACUCGUUCCAGGCGAUCCGAGAACAGAUAUUCGGGUCAAACGAUAGUUUCGCUGACCCGGCUCCAAUGAACGGGUUCGUGCAACAAGCGAAGAGCAUGGGUGAAACCAUGUCGAAAACCGUCAUGAGCGGGUUCAAACCGAGUCUUUUACCGGUUUACACCGAGUUAGCGAAUGAGUUCGCCGUUUUUGACCGGUGGUUCGCGUCGGUUCCCGCGUCAACUCAGCCGAACCGGUUCUAUGUCCACUCAGCAACCUCACACGGAGCCAUGAGUAACGUGCGGAAAGACCUUAUCCAUGGAUUCCCUCAAAGAACGAUAUUCGACUCACUCGACGACAAUGGCCUCAGUUUCGGGAUAUAUUACCAAAAUAUCCCCGCAACACUGUUUUUCAAGUCGUUGAGGAAAUUAAAGCACUUGUUGAAGUUUCACAGCUACGAACUGAAGUUCAAAUUGCAUGCGAAGCUAGGGAAGUUACCUAAUUAUGUGGUGGUGGAGCAGAGGUACUUUGACGUGGAGUUAUUUCCAGCCAAUGAUGAUCACCCAUCACAUGACGUGGCAAGAGGACAGAGGUUUGUGAAGGAGGUGUAUGAGAUAUUGAGGAGCAGUCCGCAGUGGAAAGAGAUGGCUCUUCUGAUUACUUAUGAUGAGCAUGGUGGAUUUUAUGAUCACGUACCUACGCCCGUCAGAGGGGUACCGAAUCCGGAUGGGAUUAUUGGGCCUGACCCAUAUUAUUUCCAGUUUGACCGCUUGGGUAUUCGGGUUCCGACCUUUUUGAUCUCUCCUUGGGUUGACAAGGGUACUGUGAUACAUGAACCAGAUGGGCCAAGACCAGAUUCACAAUUUGAGCAUUCUUCAAUCCCUGCAACGGUGAAGAAGCUGUUUAACUUGAACUCGAAUUUCUUGACAAGGAGGGAUGCAUGGGCUGGUACUUUUGAGAAUUACUUUUACCUUCGUGACACUCCGCGUGAUGAUUGCCCAGAAACGCUGCCAGACGUGACGACAUCAUUGAGGCCAUGGGGACCAAAAGAAGAUGCAAGCCUCUCGGAGUUUCAAGUUGAGAUGAUCCAGCUUGCAUCACAGCUCAAUGGCGAUCAUGUACUGAAUGCUUACCCGGAUAUUGGCAAAAGCAUGACAGUGGGUGAAGCCAACAGAUAUGCUGAGGAUGCAGUUAGGAGGUUCCUUGAAGCUGGCAGGGCUGCUCUUAGAGCCGGAGCAAAUGAAUCUGCUAUUGUUACAAUGAAACCUUCCCUCACCAGCCGAGUUCCGGUGGGGGAUAAUGCUCGCUACCAGAAAGCCUACUAAUUCCCUUCAAAACCACCAUUUUAGAUAUGAAUUUAAACACAAAUACACAAUUACUGUGGCUGUAAGCAUUUAUCUCAGAUGUAUUAUUUUGCGUAAUUGUAGUUUUAGUAGAUGCUAAUGGAACACUAGCAUUGUUCCUAUCUACAUUUGGUAUUAUUAUUGCUUUUAUAUCAUAAAAGCAUCAAUUUGAUGCGUUAUUAAAUUAAAAAAAAAA